GGUGCGGUAGCAAAGCGGUUAUGCUCUGGCCUGCAAAGCCAGCUAGGCCGGUUCGACUCCGGCCCGCACCUCCA
rnacentral:tRNA from 2 species